UAAGCCAGAUGGGUUUGCCAUUAUCACUAACUGUGUUGUGGGCAAAAUUACCGCCAUACAAUUGGAGAUGUGUCAAAAAGGAGUGGAACUGAAGCCACUAGAGGCGAAAAAGAAGCUUUUCGAUAUGACACUGACGCUUGUUCAUGUAAUUUCCCAAGCUGGCGAAGCUCUUGAUUCUUACAUUCGGGAUCAUGCCAAGCUGGCCGCGUCAUUCUAUCAGGACCGGGCUCUAACAUGGAAGGUGCCCUAUAUCAUUCCAGUGUCCCAUGUGGAGGUCCUUGAUC